rnacentral:ncRNA from 2 species
CUGAUCUUGUCGGGGUGCCUUAUUUUAGGCUGAGAUUGGCUUUGCCAAAUCCCGUUGCACCUGAUCAGGUUAAUACCUGCGUAGGGAACAAGUUACACUGUAAU